CACCCAUCUAUUCACUCAACCCUGGGCUGCUCUUAGAACAAGAUUUCCAUACCAACUAUUUGCAUUGUUAGUUGCAUCAUUUAACAUCUUUGUUAUGCAUGUUUUUAAAAGAGAGACAUACACAGACUAUAGUGUACAUUCCAUUUAUUUUAGGGCAUUUGUUUAGAUUGCAAUAUUUGUGCUAUACCAGAUGGAUUCAGUGAGAUGUGUUUGUUGAAAUAGUUUGAGAUUAAAGCUAGAAUCCUUAAUUGAAACAAUAACAAAGCAGUCACCCUGCCUGUGUUUUGGUAAAACGCUGAAGGAUGGGCCUGGAGAAAUGUAACCGCUCUCAAACUCAGAGCUAUUAAUGCAAGGACUGAACAUCCAUGAUAUCAACAAUAUAGUUGAACUAAGGCAUUUAUAAGAUAUUCAAGAAUCAAUGGGUAUAUAUCAUUUAUAAAUCCCAAAAUGGAUGUAGCAACUAUAGAUUCCCACUUUAACUUCAAUGAAAAUGAUACAAUCUCCCAGAAAUGUUCACAGCAGAGCCCAUAGGGGCCACUGGAACCAGUUGGUUGAAAUUCUAUUAUUUCUGUACCAGGCAGUGAAAAUUGAGUAACACAUUUGGUGAUAACAUUCAACAUCAGAAGAGAUUACUCCCCUAGAAUUCUAUUCAGAAUGUGAACUGUAUUUCCAGGAAGAAUCAAGAGGUUGCACAAAUCAUUUCUAAUGAACUCAAGCUUUGGUCUAACAACAAUCAUGAUAAAGAUGGGAUAGAAACUUAAAAUGCCAACAGACUCAAAUGACUGACGUUCCCAAUGUACACUGUUCAAGAAACUUCAAGGCAGCAGUCAUUCUGUUGGGCUGAGAAUUUACCCAGGAUUACAUGCUCUAACAAAGAUAGGAAAGCCACCAAGCAAUAUGCAAAGUCACCCUUCAGCAUUAAGUAAACAUUAGGCCCAGUGUAUAAAACACAUACGGUAUUAGUGAAAGGGACAACAUACUGUACAUGUUCUACACCAUCCAUACGCCAUAUGUUCUGGUAUAGGAUACUGGCCUAGCUAAAUCACAUAGGAUACUGGCCUAGCUAAAUCACAUAAGAUACAAUAUUAAAAAAACAUUCCAAUUCAAACAGUGAGUUUUUCCCCGUAUGGACACACUUAGCAAAAAAACGACAGAGCGUGACGAGUUAUUCACAGAUUGUGUAUACUAAGCACGUCAGAAAUACAGUUGUGUACAGGAAACAAACUUUCAUUUCUACUGUAUGAUUUAAAUCAGAUGUUUAAAACUGCCACCUGGUUUCAGAAUGUAUGUCACUAUCGUGUGGAUGUCAUGUGGGUCACAAGCCAGCUUGGAGGGCACGUCACCUACAACAAGCUCAAGUGGGAGGCCAUAUAGAAAUUACAAGGGGAAUGCACAGUGAAAUGGUUGAAAUGUUCCAUUCUGAUCAAGGGGGUGGACAUCCCCCUCGACAAGAGAACAAACUACCUUCUGGAAUGUUCCUUCGAUGCAGUUGAUUUAAUGAGUGGCAUAAUUCCAGGAUAGAUCACUGGAAAGCCCCGUAAUGGUCAGGGUGUUUCGAAUUUCAACAACAACCCGUGUUACUAACAGACUCUUCCCGCUGACUAAUAGUUUGGGUUUUUCAGAGUAGGUGCUAGUAAAUUGUGUAUCACAGUGACCAGCUACAGGGACCUGCUAAAAUAAAAGGAAACACUUGAGUAAAUGAGGGUACUUAUUGGCAGCUCUGUUAUGGUGUGGAGGUGCAUUUUCCUGGCAUGGUUUAGGUCCACUCAACCCCAUGGAGGACAAGGUAAACUCCAAUAAAUACACAGCCAUUCUGAGUGAUCACCUUCUACCUACUGUAGGGUGAAACAGAUCUACCCUGAUGGGAGUGGUCUCUUCCAGGAUUACAAUGACCCAUCCACUGGGCACAAGUGGUCACAAUGGUUUGAUGAGCAUGAAAAGGAUGUAAGCCAUAUGCCACGGCCGUCUCAGUCACCAGAUCUCAACCUUAUUGAACACUUAUAGGAGAUUCUGGAGCGGAGCCUGAGACAGCGUUUUCCACCACCAUCAACAAAACACCAAAUGAUGGAAUUUCUGGUGGAAAAAAAUGGUGUAGCAUCCCUCCAAGCGUUCCAGAUACUUGUAGAAUCUAUGCCAAGGUGCAUUGAAGCGGUUCUGGCUCGUGGUGCCCAAUGCCCUAUUAAGACACCAUGUUGGGGUUUCCUUUAUUUUGGCAGUUACCUGUAUGCUUGCAACUGGGUAGCAGUCCAAAUGGGGUUCUAUGGCAACUGGGUAGCAGUCCAAAUGGGGUUCUAUGGCAACUGGGUAGCAGUCCAAAUGGGGUUCUAUGGCAACUGGGUAGCAGUCCAAAUGGGGUUCUAUGGCAACUGGGUAGCAGUCCAAAUGGGGUUCUAUGGCAACUGGGUAGCAGUCCAAAUGGGGUUCUAUGGCAACUGGGUAGCAGUCCAAAUGGGGCUCUAUAGCAACUGGUACAAUCAAAAUAACACUACUCAGUACUGGCAUCUAAACAGCAACAAAAUCACAUAGCAUUUUGCACUUAUAAACACACACAAAGACACCUUUAACUAUGCACUGUGGGAAAAUAAAGGUGCAUCCUCAUUCAUUAGACAGAUACGCAAGAUAUUUUGGAUACUAUUUGUUUGGCAGUAGGUCAAUGGUUUACAACAUUCAGGUGAUCCUUGAGAACAUAAUCUUCACUUCCUGAAAUGGAAUCAGCCAUGUUAGUCAACAAAUUUUGCUAAACACUCUCACCGGCCCUCUCACACACGCUUGCUGGCCGUGACACAGAAACGUUGUUGGCUGAAAUACAGUGGAAGUCCAAAGUCCAUCAGAAAGACAAAUACUUUUCUUUAAAAAGCAUCAAAAACAUCAGUCCAUCCUCCUCUGAGCAGGGCGAUUCUUGUGGUGACCACAGAAAGGGCAUCGUCCUGUUUGGCUAAAUGGAUCCUGCAGACGUCAGGAAGAGCCUCUCUGCUCUCUAUUAGGUCCGCUCUCAGGUUUGCCAAGUGCUCCAUUAGAAACAGGUUACGCUGCAGUGACUGCUUUUGAUUUGGGAUGAGAGGGGCGCAUAGAGGAGGAUGGAAAUGGUUCUCCAUGCCUACAGAGAGAAGUGAAAACUGUUAAUUCUACAAGUCCAGAGAAGGGUGAAGGUGGUUAGUUCCAGAAGUGAAGGUGGUUAGUUCCAGAAGUGAAGGUGAAGUGAAGGUGGUUAGUUCCAGAAGUGAAGGUGGUCAGUUCCAGAAGUGAAGGUGGUCAGUUCCAGAAGUGAAGGUGGUCAGUUCCAGAAGUGAAGGUCAGUUCCAGAAGUGAAGGUCAGUUCCAGAGAAGCUAUUGCAUUGCAGAUAUGGCGAUAGCUUCAUUAACUGGGUACUUACUUGGUAGGCAGCAGCUAUAACAUGCUCCUGCAGCCGUUGGCACUGGGUCCUUUCGACCUCAUCUUAUCCUGGACCGGCCCUGACUGCAGGACAGGAAGAUUACGACUGUUAGAGUUUCUACAGAUACUUAGUCAUUUUCAUAUCAAAAGGCAGGUCAUAACCUCUUCAUGAUAACAUAUGGAUGGAGAGGCAGGAUCCGAAGCCAGAAUUAGAACUAUGAUUUCAUGUGUUGUUUCUAUACUGUAUCAUUUUAUGUAACAUAUUUAACAGUCCGUUUCUGUGGUGUUCAUAUGAAACAUGAUCCCAUUUGGACUGCUGACAACAUUUGAUCCAUUUGGCCAGCAGCAUUACUCAUAACCUACGUCUUUACAUAAUGAUGAGUGACCAUAUGAUGGGGAUGGAGUGAGGAGGAAUGGGACUUGCUUUAGGCUGUGGUUUUUUUUCUCCUUUACUUUUUAACGGCGCAGUUCAGAGUUGGAUGAAUGCACAGGUGUGGAUCAAUUAUUCUGACGUCAGGCGUUGCAGAAACGGCAUGUGCUUGACGAACACUACAAUAACUACAGUCUGACAGCUAUGGGUCAUAACAGAACAAUGGACAUUAGAGGGUUACGCAAUAGCAGCUGAGGAAAUGGAAUUAUGUAAUACGUUUCAGUAACAUACUCCUCACCUGACUGUUCUCAGCCCACCUCCUGAUACAAUGUGGAAAUGUGUCAUUUCAUUCAAAAGAUCUGGUGACUUUCACAACUGGAGGUCAUGAUCACGAUGGAACAGUCAGUUUAUCAGUGAGACAUUUUACAUAUCAGUCAUUUAGCAGAGCGACACAGUAGUCCAUACAUUUCAGUCAUUUAGCAGAGCGACACAGUAGUCCAUACAUUUCAGUCAUUUAGCAGAGUGACACAGUAGUCCAUACAUUUUAGUACUGAUAUCAACAUCAUGUAAUACAUUCAGAAAUGGACCAUCACUCAAUUUAACCUACUUUCCAUACAGUGAUUUAAACAGUGACCAGACUAGUGAUUGGCUAGUCUUCUGAUAGUACUGUAUACACUUUAUCCAUCAUAGCGUAACAGGUUUCAAACUAAAGUUAAUAUCCAUAUCCUACUAAUAGGUGAACGAAUUGAGACACAUUUCCUCCUCUCAUUCCCUGUCCAAUGAGACUGUAUUCCGUGGGAAACCAGGCCAACAUUUCCCAGCGUUUCUACAUUUCCUCCUCUCAUUCCCUGUCCAAUGAGACUGUAUUCCGUGGGAAACCAGGCCAACAUUCCUAGCGGCAGGUUGGAAGCUGCAAAGCCCAGCCCAUGUACUGAGGAGUAACACACUUGCAACACACACACACUACACCACCUUCACAAUAUCGCGACACAUUUUAAGACACACCAGCCCCAGUCAGUCUAGGUAUCAUCUCUCUUACCGGGGCCCGGCCCUCUGCCAUCUCCCCAGAGCCAAUGUGUGUCAAGUGGACAAAGUUUGUGGGCUCGCCGAUCAUGCUGCGGUCGAUUUUCCUGCGCCUCUUUCUCUGGAAAUAAUAGAAAAUAUAUAGAAAUAGAAAAUGGGGACAGACAGAUAUUAUGCAAUCAAGCCCAGUGGAAGAAAAGAACUUACAGACUUUACAGUACACACACAUAAUGCAUUUUGUAACCUGAAUGGGAUGAUCUUCGAUAAGAGUUUUGAUCUUCUACUUGUUAUUUCAUACUCAAUGGCAGCAGGUCAGGUCGCCUAGCGGCAGGUCAGGUCGCCUAGCGGCAGGUCAGGUCCAGGUCAGGUCGCCUAGCGGCAGGUCAGGUCCAGGUCAGGUCGCCUAGCGGCAGGUCAGGUCCAGGUCAGGUCGCCUAGCGGCAGGUCAGGUCCAGGUCAGGUCGCCUAGCGGCAGGUCAGGUCCAGGUCAGGUCGCCUAGCGGCAGGUCAGGUCACCUAGCGGCAGGUCAGGUCAGGUCGCCUAGCGGCAGGUCAGGUCCAGGUCAGGUCGCCUAGCGGCAGGUCAGGUCCAGGUCAGGUCGCCUAG
rnacentral:lncRNA from 1 species